UGAUAUAUAUAUAUAUGUGUGUGUGUGUGUGUGUGUGUGUAUGUAUAUGUAUACACACACACACACACACACAUAUAUAUAUAUAUACAC
rnacentral:miRNA from 1 species